rnacentral:rRNA from 1 species
CAAUUACCCAAUCCCGACACGGGGAGGUAGUGACAAUAAAUAACAAUAUAGGGCUCUUUCGGGUCUUAUAAUUGGAAUGAGUACAAUUUAAAUCCCUUAACGAGGAACAAUUGGAGGGCAAGUCUGGUGCCAGCAGCCGCGGUAAUUCCAGCUCCAAUAGCGUAUAUUAAAGUUGUUGCAGUUAAAAAGCUCGUAGUUGAACUUCAGACCUGGCCGGGCGGUCCGCUUAACGGCGUGUACUGUCUGGCUGGGUCUUACUUCUUGGUGAGCCGGCGUGCCCUUUAUUGGUGUGCGUCGGGGAACCAGGACCUUUACCUUGAGAAAAUUAGAGUGUUCAAAGCAGGCCUAUGCCUGAAUACAUUAGCAUGGAAUAAUAAAAUAGGACGUGCGGUUCUAUUUUGUUGGUUUCUAGAGUCGCCGUAAUGAUUAAUAGGGAUAGUUGGGGGCAUUGGUAUUGAGUCGCUAGAGGUGAAAUUCUUGGAUUGACUCAAGACCAACUAUUGCGAAAGCAUUUGCCAAGGAUGUUUUCAUUAAUCAAGAACGAAGGUUAGGGGAUCGAAAACGAUCAGAUACCGUUGUAGUCUUAACAGUAAACUAUGCCGACUAGGGAUCGGGUAACCUCAAUUAUGAUGUGUUACUCGGCACCUUACGAGAAAUCAAGGUCUUUGGGUUCUGGGGGGAGUAUGGUCGCAAGGCUGAAACUUAAAGGAAUUGACGGAAGGGCACCACCAGGUGUGGAGCCUGCGGCUUA